rnacentral:pre_miRNA from 1 species
GCAUCUCUAGUCGAUACUGUGAUCUCACCCGCAAGUCGGUCGUGCACUCGCAGGUGAGAUGAUAGCAUUGAAGGGAGGAGC